rnacentral:rRNA from 1 species
GAUGAACGCUAGCUACAGGCUUAACACAUGCAAGUCGAGGGGAAACGAUAUUGGAAGCUUGCUUCCGAUAGGCGUCGACCGGCGCACGGGUGAGUAACGCGUAUCCAACCUGCCCAUCACUUGGGAAUAACCUUGCGAAAGCAAGAUUAAUGCCCGAUGUUCCGCGUUUGCCGCAUGGCAAAUUCGGCAAAGAUUUAUUGGUAAAGGAUGGCGAUGCGUCCCAUUAGUUAGUUGGCGGGGUAACGGCCCACCAAGACGACGAUGGGUAGGGGUUCUGAGAGGAAGGUCCCCCCACAUUGGAACUGAGACACGGUCCAAACUCCUACGGGAGGCAGCAGUGAGGAAUAUUGGUCAAUGGGCGAGAGCCUGAACCAGCCAAGUAGCGUGCAGGAUGACGGCCCUAUGGGUUGUAAACUGCUUUUAUAAGGGAAUAAAGUGGGUCUCGUGAGACUUUUUGCAUGUACCUUAUGAAUAAGGACUGGCUAAUUCCGUG